AAUACGAUUUGUUAGGUGAGGCUCCUAUACAAACACAGGCUGCUGCCCAAAAAUGUCGAGAGACGCCAAUGGGUAGAACAGGAAUUGUCGAAUACAAGGCUUUUCAUAAGGCAGCUAAAAGCAAUGCUUUUUACGUUGUAUAGUGCUAAAACUCAACGAUUAGAUCAAUAA
rnacentral:sRNA from 2 species